CCUCCCUGAGGCCGCUCGGCCGCUGCUGCCCCCCCGCUCGCCCUCAGCCGCGGCCAAAGCCCCUCGGCCCCGGGUCAGAGCGCUUGGAAAGGCGGCUCUGCCCGCCCUGCGGGUGUCGGGAAUGGCUCGGGAGCGAGGGGAUCCCCGGGCCCUCAGCGCCCGCGGCUGCCCGGGGGGAGAGCGGCUCUAGCUCCCAACGUGGGUUUUGUAACCGGGACCGGGAAACGUUUUUUGUGUCAAUGGAUUCGCUGCUGGACCAUCCCAUCAGUGCAACUCGUUUGAUUUCAGGUCUGCUGUGGACUGGGGCGAUGGCGCAAUUACAGAUUCGAGUGAUGUUUUAUUUUUUCUCAGGUGAGAAAAAUAUAAGACCACCUCUUGUAGUGGCCCUUUCAGUCUUGGCUGCAGGACUAAAUUUUGCCUGGAACUCUGCAGUAUCCAAGGCUCAGGUAAGAUGCACAAACCUCUACAAGAGAAAUCAGAGCUGAGGGAGGAUUGAAGUCCUUCCAGUUCCGUCUGAGUUUUGCCUGGCUAAGGGUGUAGGCAUUUGGCUACAAAUUAAUUCAGUUUAGUUUUCACCCAGAGAAUGCUGCAAACCCCCCCAGAAAGAUAGAUUUAAUUUUUUUUUCCUCGCUAACACAAUCACAAAAUAAUACAAACUUCUCCCCACAAAGUGUUGAUUGUUCUGUAAUGGAAUCAUAAGUAAUUUUGUAGUCGCUUUGGGGAAAAAGCAGAAACUGUUCUUAG
rnacentral:lncRNA from 1 species